CAGAGAUUUAAAGGCAGACGGUUACUUUGACAUGUGCAGCGCAAGUGCAAGUAUGUCGAUGUUGACAUGGUGAAGGCCAAUUCCUGGCUCAAGGUGCCUGACCUGAUGCACAACUAGACUUUAAAGAUGGCGCUGGUAUCAGGCAUCAUGGGAAAUCCUGAUGCUGGUGAAUACUUCUGUUAAGGGCAAGAAGGAAGAUAUAAGGAGCAGUCACCAUAGGGGCUUGGUGCACAGUUAAUGAGAAGAACUCAGCUCAUGUCAGGGAACAGCAGGCCGUCGGGGGAGUGAGUACAGCCACCCACACAUUAACUCAUCACAACGAUUGGAAUCAAACCUGGCCUACACCCCCAUUCUGAAUUGAGAGGAGUCAUUGUGCUU